GAGGUCCCCGGGCGCGGCUGGGGCAGCGGGAGGCGCGGGAGGCCGAGGUCCGGGUGGCCGCCGCGGCCGCCCCCGAAGCGCUGCUGUCACCCCGGCCGCGCCCCCCAACUUUCUGCACAGUCGCGGAGCUGGAAGUUUCCGGGCUUCGCGGACACGCUGGGCUGGGUUUCAGUCGCGGCUCCGAGGUUGGCAACAAAGAGGGAAAGAAGGAGGAAAAGCAGGCCGGGGAGGGGAGGAAGAGAACCGCGCGGAGGCCGCGGCGCCGAGAGCCCCAGAACUUCCAAUUCUACCCAGAAGCUUUUUUCGUCGUGUUUUUCUCUUAGGUAAACAAGCAAGUUCCACGCCCCAGUCCUGCUGGGGCCUUCGCCAGCCACCGCUCUGGGCUCAUCUCCCGGCGCCUCCUCGGGGCACCUGAGCGUUUUAAGCCCCACUGCCAAGUGUUUUGGACACAGGUUUUUUUGCGGGGUGGUGAGGUUGGGCACAAGAUGCUUCCUAAAAGGUUGUUGGCACGCAGACCAUGGCCCCAGUGACGGAGCGACAUGAUCCUCUCUGAGGUUGGUCCUGGGCUUCCAUACGUGAUUCAUGGAAGAGGUCUCAGCCCCAAGAGCCCCUGAGGGUACUGUCCACUCCCCCUGGAAACUUCCAGAACCUGACGUGGGGCUGAAGACAUAGAGGCUCUGAGAGUUACAUAAUUGAUUCUGACUUUGGCUGUUGGUCAACAGUGUCAUAAGGUAAAAUAAGGCUGUUGUAGAAUCUGCUCAGCCAGGGAGGGGAAAGGAGUCGGCAAUCAGGUCUCCUCCUGGGCACCUUUGUGAGGCCAGCUGGCGAGAGUGGGGGGUGACACUGAGGUCCCAGCAGCUCCAAAUGCAGGCAGAGCCCUGUCCUCAGAGAAGGUCACAGCCUAGCCAAGCCCAGCCAGGUGGAUGGGCCCACGGAACGCACAGGAACCUGGAACGGAGGUUGAAAGCAGGAAGCACAGUCUGUGACUCCCCAGCCCACUCUGCAUUCGACCACUUGGGGCCCAGAAGCUUCAGGAAAGGUGCACAAGGUCACUGGGUCCCAGUACUCCCAACAGGAAGGUCUGGUCCAGGGACAGGGCUCUUCCCGACUCCCCUUAGCCACACGCACCAGAAGUUCUGCAGUGCCCAGUGGGCAUAGCAGUCCCCAAGAAUGACCCAGCACUGAAGCUGAGCCAAAGAACUUGGGGAGCGAGCCACACCCCCUCACUCCCUCUUCGCCUGCUCCAGACUUGCCAGGCGGUUGCUUUUCGUGGGAACCGGGAUGUCCUCACCACCCUGUCCAGGGCCCAGCCCCAUGUCCCUGGCCUGCUACAGCUGGAAAAAAAAAAGAGAGAUGUUUGUUUUUAUUUGUUUAUAAAAAGAAAAGUGUUAUAUAUAUAACAUAUUAUACCUCAUGAAUACAUACAAUUAUUUGUCAAUUAACAAUAAAGAAAAAUACAGCAAGCAAAAAAGACUCUCUUCCACAAAAAUAGUGUUCAUUACAGAAAAGUACAAAAAAAAAAAAAAAAAACUAAGAGGAUAUUUAGAAUUAAGAAAAAACUAAGAGGGUAUUUAGAAUUAAAAAAUAAAAAGAAAACAAUUACCCAUGAGGUAAUUACUGAAUGCAUUUGGUUGAAAGUCCUUCUGCUAUAUUUUCCAAACUGUAUGUGUAUAUAUGUGCGCAUGCAUAUAUGUGUUUGUGUGUGUGUACACAUAUCUAUAUGAAUGGACCAUAUCGUAAGUUAUAAAUGCAUACAUAUAUUCAUGUAUAUAUAAUCAUUAGAUCAUACUAUAGGUUAUUUUACAGUCUUUUUGUUGAAUACGUUGUGAGCAUUUUAUGUCAUUAUUUUCUACAAGAUUUGAAAAAUAAAGUAUAAAUACCAGUUAAUUUUUGAAAUCAACCUUAUUAAGGAAUAAGUUCCAUGCAGCAAAAUCCCUUUCACCUCUACUGUUCGAUGAGUUUUGACAAUGUAUGCAACCGUGACAUGUAUCACCACGAUCAAGAAAGAAAACAUCACCACAAAAUGUUCCCUAGAGCCCCUUGCAGGCAGUCUCUGACUUCCUGGCAGCCAGCAAUCUGAAUCCAACCACCGUAGAUCAGUUUCAAUUUAUUAAAAAAAAAUUUUAACUCAUGGAGUAUGAACUCUUGCUCGGGAUCCUGCUAUCUAUGUUGUUGAGUUUAUCAAUAGCCCAUUCCUUUUUACUGCUACGUGAUAUUUUAUCAUAUGCCUAUUGACAUUUGUUUACCCACUCACAUACUGAUGGACAAUUGAAUUGUUUGUGUUGUCUGUUUGUUUGUUUUUUGAGACAGGGUCUCACUGUCACCCAGGCUGGAGUGCAGUGGUGCAAUCUCGGCUCACUGCAACCUCUGCCUCCCAGGCUCAAGUGAUCCACCUCGGCCUCCCAAAGUGCUGAAAUUACAGGCGUGAGCCACUGUGCCUGGCCUGUUUCUGAUUUUUUAAAAUGUUUGCUAUUGUGACUAGAACUUUGUGAAUGCCAAUUAAUUUUUACAGUGUUUUAAUGAGCAAUGUCACCCGCACGUGCUGUGAAUGCCCACGCAUGUGGGCACAGCCUGUGUGUUUCCUUCCUGGAGCACUUGAGAUGGGGAAACCAAGAGAUGGGGGGUGAAGAAAGGAGCCAGAGGCCACACAGCUGGUUAGGAACAGGCUAGGGGAACCCAGCCUCUAAAUCCCAGUAUUCCAGGACAACAUGCUGCCAUACUCUCACAACACUUGCCUGUAUCAGAAAUGCUUGUAAUUUUCCCACACAGAGAAAUUUCCAUGAAAAUCAAGUUGUGGGCUGAGAGAUGAAAGGCAGCCUCAUGUUAAUUAGGCAGGCUUUGGUUUGGUCCGUCCACCAAGCUCAGGGGUGUGUGUGAAUAUCUCUAUUUUCAUACACACAUGCACACACGCACACACACACACACACACACACACGGACACGUCGCUCACACCCACCAACGCCAGUGGCGAUGAUCCAGUCCAGAUCUUUUCUAUACUGCCUUCAGAGCAC
rnacentral:lncRNA from 1 species